CCCAAUGGAAGAGCAGCUAGGCGCAGCGUCUCUUGAAGAUGGCUGGAGAGAUAUUCGAUCCGCCAUUGGUAGCACCGCAACCGCUGCACUUGGCACGGUGCCCCCGGAUCAGAGAAACGACUGGUAUGACGGCGAAUGUGAGCAGUUAGUAGAAGAGAAGAAUGCAGCAUGGGCGAGAUUGCUGCAACACCACACGAGGGCGAACGAGGCACGAUAUAAACAGGCGCGGAACAGACAAAACUCGAUUUUCCGGAGGAAAAAGCGCCAGCAGGAAGAUCGAGACCGUGAAGAAACGGAGCAACUGUACCGCGCUAAUAACACACGAAAGUUCUAUGAGAAGUUAAACCGUUCACGUAAGGGCCACGUGCCACAGCCUCAUAUGUGUAAGGACAUAAACGGGAACCUUCUUACGAACGAGCGUGAGGUGAUCCAAAGGUGGUGGCAGCACUACGAAGAGCACCUGAAUGGCGAUGUGGCAGACGAAGAUGGCGGUAUGGUGAUGGACCUGGGAGAACGCGCGCAGGACAUAAUUCUACCGGCUCCGGAUCUCCAGGAAAUCCAGGAGGAGAUUGGCCGGCUGAAGAACAACAAAGCCCCUGGGGUUGACCAACUACCAGGAGAGCUAUUUAAACACGGUGGUGAGGCACUGGCUAGAGCGCUGCACUGGGUCAUUACCAAGAUUUGGGAGGAGGAAGUUUUGCCGCAGGAGAAGAUGGAAGGUGUCGUGUGUCCCAUCUACAAAAAGGGCGAUAAGCUGGAUUGUAGCAACUACCGCGCAAUCACAUUGCUGAACGCCGCCUACAAGGUACUCUCCCAAAUUUUAUGCCGUCGACUAGCACCAACUGCAAGGGAGUUCGUGGGGCAGUACCAGGCGGGUUUUAUGGGCGAACGCUCCACCACGGACCAGGUGUUCGCCAUUCGCCAAGUACUGCAGAAAUGCCGCGAAUACAACGUGCCCACACAUCAUCUAUUCAUCGACUUCAAAGCCGCAUAUGAUACAAUCGAUCGGGACCAGCUAUGGCAGCUAAUGCACGAACACGGUUUUCCGGAUAAACUGACACGAUUGAUCAAAGCGACGACGGGUGAUGUGCGUAGUUCGAGUUUCAGGGGCAUUCUCGAGUCCCUUCGAAACCCGCAGAGGGUUACGGCAAGGUGACGGUCUUUCGUGUUUGUUAUUCAACAUCGCUUUGGAAGGGGUAAUACGAAGAGCAGGGAUUAACACGAGUGGUACAAUUUUCAAUAAGUCCGUCCAGCUAUUUGGUUUCGCCGACGACAUAGAUAUUAUGGCACGUAACUUUGAGAAGAUGGAGGAAGCCUACAUCAGACUGAAGAGGGAAGCUAAGCGGAUCGGACUAGUCAUCAACACGUCGAAGACGAAGUACAUGAUAGGCAGAGGUUCAAGAGAAGACAAUGUGAGCCACCCACCGCGAGUUUGCAUCGGUGGUGACGAAAUCGAGGUGGUAGAAGAAUUUGUGUACUUGGGCUCACUGGUGACUGCCGAAAAUGACACCAGCAGAGAAAUUCGGAGACACAUAGUGGCUGGAAAUCGUACGUACUUUUGACUCCGCAAGACGCUCCGAUCGAAUAGAGUUCGCCGCCGUACCAAACUGACAAUCUACAAAACGCUAAUUAGACCGGUAGUCCUCUACGGACACGAGACCAGGACGAUGCUCGUGGAGGACCAACGCGCACUUGGAGUUUUCGAAAGGAAAGUGCUGCGUACCAUCUAUGGUGGGGUGCAGAUGGCGGACGGUACGUGGAGGAGGCGAAUGAACCACGAAUUGCAUCAGCUGUUGGGAGAACCAUCCAUCGUUCACACCGCGAAAAUCGGACGACUGCGAUGGGCCGGGCACGUAGCCAGAAUGUCGGACAGUAACCCGGUGAAAAUGGUUCUCGACAACGAUCCGACGGGCACAAGAAGGCGAGGUGCGCAGCGGGCAAGGUGGAUCGAUCAGGUAGAAGAUGACUUGCGGACCCUCCGUAGACUGCGUGGUUGGCGACGUGUAGCCAUGGACCGAGCCGAAUGGAGAAGACUCUUAUAUACCGCACAGGCCACUUUGGCCUUAGUCUGAAUAAAUAAAUAAUAACGGACUGCUUUGUCUCUUUCUCGCUGCAAAGAAAUUUGAAAACAACAAGGCCAGUAAACGUCAAAAUUUAUGAGGAACGAAAGAGAAAGAGAUGUUUCCGUGCAGUGCCCUAUACCGUCGUCGGGGGUGACAAUGGGUCAAAUGAGGUGAAAAUGGGUCACUGUUUCAACUACUAAGAAUGUUUGUAGAUGAGAUUGAAUGUAUCUGAGGGCAAGAAAGCUAAAAUAUAAGAGACCUUUGUAACGUUUAGAUUUUGUUGUAAUGUAGACAUAGAUGUUAGAUGUCAUAAAUGCCAGUGCGCGUAAAAUAUAGAAAAGAAAAGCGGAUAAUUUAAAUAUAAUGGUCAAUGAGGCAUAAGGUGAACACCUCUGACAAAGUAAUUCAAGCAGAUGUCCACCCAAUGUAAAUAAAUACUAAGGUAUGGAAAUCCAUAUAUUGUGUGCGUGCCUUUUGUGUAUGGCGGAAAAUCUUUCACUACUACAUUCGAACGAGCUCCCAUAAGAAGCCGUGCAAAUAUGUACGUCACCAUUUGCUGUUCACAUUUUUCAUCAUCCACUAAUACACUUGCAUUUGGUCUUCUUCCUCACCUUCUAUUUAUUCUCAUUGAUGUCCACCCGAAACCGUAGGAGCCAAGUUAAACGCUAACCACCACGCACACACUUGGUCGUACACAUAUGCGGAGCGGCGAACAUUAAAACACACAACCCGAGCAGGAGAAAUUGGCUCAAUAAUACCUAAUUCUGGUAUUGAUACCAUACUCUGUUAUGAACUAGCCCUAGAUAAGAGGUAAAAUACCAGAGGAAUAAUACCAAAAACUAAUAUGCACAAUACUUAAGCCAUAACAAACUCAGUUAUUAAAUUGAAUUUUAAUACCAAAUGCAUAACCAAUUAUUAUUCGUUUGGUAUUGAAAUACUUAAGCAUGGUAUGCCUCAAGUAUUCUGCAUAUAAUUUUUUGGUAUUAUUUUUUGGUAUUUUACCUCUUAUGCAAGGCUAAAUCAUACCAAUUUCUGUUAUCGAGGUCGUCGCUCCUGCUCGGGAAGGCGUCGUUCUCUCACUGCACAAGCUCAAAAAAAAAUGCAGCUGAUAAAAUAAUACCACUUCAACACAACAUAGUAGUAUAGGAGAGUGUAAGAGCGCACACGGUUUGGAAAUUCGUCCACCAAUACCAUCACGACACCACCCUCCUCCAGUCUGUGUCAUGCCAUCGACGGUGAGUCUGGUUGUGUCGUUCGAACCGGUGAGAAGUCUUUUCGCCAAGCAGCAAUAGAGAAGCGAGACAGUGGAAUUGGACGCAGGUCGGCCAUCUUGUGGAAAAAGAAGCCUUAAAUUCCACACGUGCGGCAAUCCCUCGAAUCGGCCAGAGCGCCUUAGGACAGCUUCCAAAAUCAUAAAUCCCAUUCCGAGCCGUCAAAGAGGGUGAACGAAUGAACUUGGCGAAAAUGACUCGAUCCGAACAAUCAGACCAGCAGACCGUUGUCCAGCACUCACAGCAGGAAUUUGAAAGUCUAUUGGCGAUCUCUUUUCGAACGAACUGGCGCGGCAGUAUUUCGAUUGAGAUCGGGCCAUCGAAUCGCAGACCGCAGCGCGGUGCUCACACGUGGAGAAAAGAAACGGAUUACGAUCUUCAGCACCCAGAGCCUUCCCGGAGGAAGGCUCUUUUUCUUAAUCCACAGUCACGGCUGGGCGGACUCGAGGCACCGGUGCGACCAAACGACACGGAAGACGAGCCGCAACCUUGUUGCGAAGAAUCGCCUGGGGGGACGGAGGGCCACAUUGGUGGAACCAACAGGUGCAUUAGGACAAUUCGAGCUAAUUACGAUUGGCGAGCGAACCACCCGUCAGGACGCAGGCAGAUACACCUCGGCGGAGAAUUUCGACGCGCAUUCCGGCGACUUCGAGCCAACAUCGAGUGGCGGACGGGCCAGCGAGCCGAGUACGGUCAAGUGUGGAACGAGCGGCGAGGCUGCCGUGAAACGGCACAGUUCAACAGCCGUGCGCCGGCAAGUGUGGCGGCCCAAAAGGCAUCCGGCAUCAGUUGAGCUAGCAUGCAGAGGGUACAAGUGAUGGGUGCACCCGUGAGUAGCAUAGUUAAGAGGUGUUAAGUUAAGAAGAAGAAGGAAGACAGCAUUUAGGCUAGGAGAAGGAAAGAGUAGGUGAAGAGGGCCCGAAAUGGCAUUUAGUAAAUAAUAUUGUUAUUUGGUGCGUAUUCCUUGAGCUAGCUGGGACUGAUCGGGAUUGCUACUGACCCCCCGACAGACCCACUUAUUACACCUUUUUGAACGAUUUUACUAUCCGACCUCCAGGGUGCCUGUGAGAGCGAUGACCCAUUUUCACCCCCCAGACCCAUUGUCACCCCCGAUAGCGGUAUCUAGCUAGUUCUGUUAGAGAUAAAAAAGAUUGCUUAUUUACGAAAUGGAUACUUGUACCGUGCGAAACUGAUUCUCUCAGUUUCAGCUUCUUGUCUAUUUCGACUUUUCGCCCCUUUCGAGCUUUUUCCCUUUCGACCUUUUACCCUUUCCGGUCUUUUGUAUCUUACGACCUUUUAUCCGUUCGAUGUUUUGUCCUUGCGACCUUUUGUCCUGUUCGAUGUUUUGUCCUUUCGAUCUUCUAUCUCUUUCGACCGUUUGUCUUUUUCGAUCAUUUGUCUCUUCGACCAUUGUCUCUUCGACCUUUUGUCUUUCGAUCGUUUGUCCUUUCGACCUUUUAUCUUUUGACCUUUUGUUCCUAAAUCGUAAAUAAAAGUUUUAUCCAUUCAACUCGGUCCAUGGCUGCACGUCGCCAGCUACGCAGUAUGCGGAGGGUCCGCAAAUCGUCUUGCACCUGAUCGAUCCACCUUGCUUGUUGUGCACCUCGCACUCUUCUUGUGCUCGUCGAAUCGUUGUCGAGAUCCAUUUUCACCGGGUUAUUAAAGGAUCUUCCCUCAUGUACCUACCUCGUCUUCAACGUAAUCCUAUCCGUUAAGCUUCUUUUUUCAGCUUGAUGUAAGCUCCCGCCGCGCCAUCUUCUCAAAGGCACGUGCCAUAAUAUCAAUGUCGUCGGCGGAACCAAAUAGUUGAUCGGUCUUCGUGAAAACUAGACCCAAAACUAGAGAUUGAAAAUUAAUCGACGGCGGCAUGAUAGAUCAUUUUUAGCCCGCGGCGCUGGCGUGGCGGCGUCACGCCGUUGGUAAUCGACGGCGGCGUGGGUCAGCGUGAGCUUGUUUCAUGCAUUUCAAAUUCUCAGAAACACUUUCACCAAUUCCUCCAAUAGUUCCUCCAGGAAUUCCUUCAGACAUUUCUCCAGGAAUCUCUCUGGAAGUUCCUCCAAGGAUUCCUUCGGAAGUCCCUACAGGAACUCCUCAUGAAGUUCCUCCAAGAAUUCCUCUGAAGGUUCCUCCUGCAAUUCCUCCAAAAGUUCUUUCAGGGAUUCCUCCGGAAGUACCUCCAAGAAUUCCUCUGGAAGUUCCUCCAAGAAUUCCUUCGGAAGUUCCUCCAAGAAUUCCUCUCCAAGAGUUCCUCCGGAAGUUCCUUCAGGAAUUCCUCCGCAAGUUCCUCCGAGAAUUCCUUCACAGUUUCCUCCAGGAACUCCUCCAGAAGUUCCUCCAGAAAUUCCUCCGGAAGUUCCUCCAGGAAUUCCUCCGGAUGUUCCUCCAGGAAUUCCUCUGGAAGUAUCUGGAGGAACUCCUCCGGAAGUUCCUCCAGGGAUUCCUCCGAAAAUUCCUCCAGGAAUUCCUCCAAAAAUUCCUCCGCAAACUCCUCCAAGAAUUUGUUCGGAAGCUCGGCCAAGAGUUCAUCCGGACG